AUUUGAAUAGUUUAAUUAAAAUAUUGAUUUGUGGGAUCAAAGAUGUAGUAAUACUUUAAAUA
rnacentral:tRNA from 1 species